rnacentral:rRNA from 1 species
AGAGCGAACGCUGGCGGCAUGCUUAACACAUGCAAGUCGCACGGUCAGGUUUCGGCCUGGUAGUGGCGGACGGGUGAGUAACGCGUAGGUAUCUAUCCGAAGGUGGGGGAUAACGGCGGGAAACUGCUGCUAAUACCGCAUAUGACCUGAGGGUCAAAGGUCGCAAGACCGCCUGUGGAGGAGCCUGCGUACGAUUAGCUUGUUGGUGGGGUAAAGGCCUACCAAGGCGACGAUCGUUAGCUGGUCUGAGAGGAUGAUCAGCCACAUUGGGACUGAGACACGGCCCAAACUCCUACGGGAGGCAGCAGUGGGGAAUAUUGGACAAUGGGGGCAACCCUGAUCCAGCAAUGCCGCGUGUGUGAAGAAGGUCUUCGGAUUGUAAAGCACUUUCGACGGGACGAUGAUGACGGUACCCGUAUAAGAAGCCCGGCUAACUUCGUGCCAGCAGCCGC